UGCAACUUUUUUUUUCUAUUUAUUUACUUACUUAUUUAUUGGCAAGAGUGGAUAUAGAUCAUCUAACCUGCUCUGGAAAAGUGGGGUGUUUUUUUUUUUUUUUUUUUGGUUUUUUUGUUUUUUGGUUUUUUGUUUUUUUUGUUUUUUUUUUUUUUCCUGGACCCUUCCCUCUUCAAAGUUGUCUGAGAAUAUAAAAAUGAACAAGACAGCAGUGAACGUCACGAGGUGCUGAGACUAUCACUGAUGUCAGAGAAUUCAGACCGUGUGUGGUUCCUUAGAUCUAAAAGGAAACCUGCAAAGGUGAAUUAUAUGAUUAAACUGGGUGAAUGACUAAAUGAUUUGUAAGCCAGCAUAGCAUACAGUAGUGCCAAAAAUAAUGGGACAUGCUUGUCAAAGAAUGGCUUUUCAUCAGUUUUUGAAAAUCCUAUGUGGAUACUUGCAGGUUAGCAGUGGUGCAUGCCUUUAAUUCCCAGCACUUGGGAGGCAGAGGUAGGUGGAUCUUUGAGUUCAAGGUUAGUCUGGUCUAAAGAGUAAGUAAGUUCUAGGACAGCCAAGGCUACACAGAGAAACCAUGUCUUGAGAAGCAAGCAAACAGGGAAGAAAGAAAGUGAGAGAGGGGAAGAUUCAUUUAUUUUUAUUUUAUGUAUAUGAGUGUUUUGCUUAUAUGUAUGUAUGAGCACUGAGUAUGUGCCUAGUCACUGCUGAGGUCAGAAAAAGGGAUUCGAUCCCCAGAAGGGAGUUACAGGCAGUUGUGAGCCAUCGUGUGGGUGCUGGGAACUGAAUGUGAGUCACCUGCACGAACAGCAAGUGCUCUUAAAAACUGAGCCAUCAGCCGGCGUGGGGAGUGAUGGCACAUGCCUUUAAUCCCAGCACUCGGGAUGCAGAGGCAGGAGGAUUUCUGAGUUCAAGGCCAGCCUGAUCUACAAAGUGAGUUCCAAGACAGCCAGGACUGUACAGAGAAACCCUGUCUCGAAAAACCAAAAAAAAAAAAAAAAGCUAAGCCAUCUCUCUAGCCCCACCUUUGUAUUUACAUGUAGUUAGUUAUUGGAGGUGUUAGUGAGCGAUGGAUAGGGGAAAAUAAGUCUAGAAUAAGUCUUAGUUUGGGCAAUGAGGUACUGACAAGGGCUGGAAAAUGGCUCAGUAGAUAGUGCUUGCUUUGCAGGCAGGAGGGUACUCAUAGGUACUCAAGUCCUUGACGGUACAGAUAGGCAGAACUCUGUGAGUUUGAGUCCUGCCUGGCCUACAUAGCAAGUUCUAGGUCAGCCAGGACUACACAGUGAGUCCAUGUCUCAAACAAACAAAAAUAAACAAAGCUCAGAAAUAAAACAAAAGACCAAAAGCCCAGACAAUUUGGGGAGUGAUCCAUGAAGCAAUGAUUGACAUCUGGCCCCUACAGGACCCUCACAGGUAAGUACACCAAUAUGCAUGUGCGUAGACACAGACACACCCACAUGCCAAAAACAUACUGACAUAAAAUGACUGCUGAGAUUAUGUGACAAUAUUCAAUCACUGGUAAUAAACAAUAAAUAAGAUAAAAAUUCAGAGAAAAGAAACCCUUGUGAGAUAAUAAUCAAAAGUAUAGACUGAGUAUUGCCUUAGUAUAGACCUCUUAACUAUCAAAAUAAUAAUGAUAACCAUUUUAAUAAUUAAUUUUAAUAGCAUUAUUAUUAAUCUGCUAGUGUUUUAGGUUGUCUUUGAUAAGGUCUUUCUUUGUAUUUAGCCCUAAACUAGCCUCAAGUUUGGUGCAAUCAUCUUCUCUAUCUUGCAAGUGUUGAGAUUACAGGUUUGAAUCACCACAUCUGGCUAAAAUUAUAAUUUUAUUUAUUUUUUAAUGCCUGGACUUGAACCCAGAGUCACCUGCUUACUAAGCAUGGGCUAUACAACUAGCUAUAUCUUAACCUUGAUUAUUUCGUUCUGUUUUGUUUUAGUCUAGGCUAGUCUAGCCGCAUACUCUUGGUCUUCCUAUCUCUGUCUCCCAAGUACUGAGAUUAUAGGCAUGGGCUCUAGUCUAUUAAGGCUUAAGUUUAUGACUGGGAGGCAUUGGGUGGUCCAACAUUGCAGGCAGAGAGGCUGAGAACCUGGCGAGUGCUCAGACAGUGAAGCUGGAGUCCUCAGCAGUGUGGGUCUGGUGCUGAGGGGCUGCGGGGCUCCUGACGAGGCCCUGGUCUGCAGUUCACAUUGGAGCUUGAGGAAGCUGGAGCCUGGAGUUAGCAAGGAAUGGCAACAGCAGCAGAGAAAGGUGCAAUCAUCAGCCAGAAGGGAAGCCUGUGCCUCCUCUUCCUCAGACCGAUUUCUAUUUAGGCCACUCACUUUGCAGAGGAGGGUCUUCAAAGUUAAUCUUUUCAGAAAAUGCUCUUCACUCACUGCCAUGUCUCUUAGUUUACUCUAGACCCAAUCAAGUUGACAAUCCAGAUCAACCGUCACCGAUGUCAUAGGAGCUGCAUCAAAAGGAGCCCUGAGCAGAAGGAACAUGGAAAGUGUCCGGAGCAUAUGUGCCUUAGCUUCAUCUCAUUUAGUUUUCAGUUCAACAUACGUGAGGUUUUUCAUGGAACUCAGUGGUCCUGGCUUUGGCGCUCAGCGGCUUGUAGACACUCUGGCUUCCUGCAAAGUACAUCCCUAACUCGAUUAUUUCCGUGCGCCCCCAUGAGGAGCCCUGCACCUGUUCAGAAACGAAUCCAAAGCCGUGAUAAUGGAGCAGGUGCUGCCUCUGCUCCAUGCUGCUUUAGCAGAUGCUCCUCUGUCCUGGUGAUGUGAAAGGAUGGAGAGGGACGACCUUUUUCCUUUUAGCGUGGCCCUCAUUCGCGGCAAUAUUAGCAAAAUGGCUCUCUUGACUGUACUCACACAAUUCUCAUAAAUCCUGGAGCCUAGAUAUGUACCUGGACACUGUAGAUUGUAGCAGGAAGGAACCCAAGGAGUAUAUUCCACCACUCUAAAUACUUACUGCUCUAGUCUUAGACCAGGCUAUUAUUAGAUCAAGUUUAACUGUGGCUGCUUCCUUCUUGCCACAGCUCUUCUCUCUCAUGGGGGAAAACGUCAUGCUAAGGACUGGAAGUAGAUAGCCUAUUGGGAAAGUGUGCAUAGCAUGCAGGAGGCUCACGGUUCAAUUCCAGAAUGGAAACAGACAACAAGAUUCUGUUUUGCCAGCCUACUUUCACAGUUAACUGUUGGUUCUGGUGCAGUUAUUCUUAAAAUAUGGAUUUGGAGAUUGGCAGUGCCAACCGCACCUGGAAAGUUAUUACAAAUGAAAAUUCUUAGGAAUGAGAGUGAAAGUGUUGAUCAGGGGUAGGGUGCUUACCCAGCAAAGGUGUGUGUGUGUGUGUGUGUGUGUGUGUGUGUAAUGGGAGAGGUGGGUCAUUCUCUGGUCUUAUUUAUUAAUAUGGUGUUUAACAAUUCCACCAGGUGAUUCAAAUAUACUGUAAGUUUGAGCACUGUGUCUGAGGAUGUAGCUCAGUCAGUAGAGUGUUUUCCUAGUAUACAUAAAGGCCUGAGUUCUAUCCCCAACGAAGUAUAAACUGAGUGUGGUCGUAGGUAAUCUCAAUACUUAUGUGGGAGCAGGAGGAUUAGGAGUUGAAGGUCAGUUUCAUAAUAAGUUGUUGACCUGCUUAGGUUGUGUGAGAUCUUGUCUCAAAACAAAACAACCCAAAACACUGAUUACUACUACCUAGGAAAGAGGCAGCCAGCGGUCCAUGAGACCGUCUUAAACAAAACCAAACCAAACCAAAAGCAAACAUUGGAUGUGGUAGUAUGUGCCUGUCAGCCUAGCACAUGGGGAGUGUUCUUGUGAUUCUGUCUCUAUCUCAAAAACAAAACAAAUAUACCAAGCCAAAACAAAAAAUAAAAACAAAAAAUAAAAACCAGAUAUGGACCAACUUAACCUUUAAGUUUUUAGCAGUCCCUUACUAUGUUUGCUUAGAAGAGUUAAUUGUUAAACUUUCAUGUUAUUAAUUCUUAAAAAUCAAAUGAAUCAAAAUCCUGUUCAGAUGUGUUUCUGGACUCUACCACUGGAAUUCUGACCCAACAGAAUUGGACACAAGCCCAGGAAUGUGCAGCUCUGACAAUCGUGUUGAAUGGUUUUCUUGUAGGAAGUGCCCUGGUCUGUGCAUAGAGAGCCCCUGGUCCACAGCAAUGUCGGAUAGGAAGUGUGCUAAUGUUGCGUAGUGUAGUAGGGUGUGGUAAGAUGCAUAGAGAGGGCUGGCGAGGUGGCUCAGCGGGUAAGAGUACUGACUGCUCUCCCGAAGGUCCUUAGUUCAAAUCCCAGCAACCACAUGGUGGUUCACAACCACCCAUAAAGAGAUCUGACGCCCUCUUCUGGUGCAGAUGAAGUCAGCUACAGUGUACUUAUGUAUAUUAAUAAAUAAAUCUUUUUAAAAAAAGAUGCAUCGAGAAAGAGCUGGAGAGUUGGCUCAGUGGUUAAGAGCAUGUACUGCUCUCUCAGAAGACCUAGGUUCAGUUACUAGCACCCGCAUGACAGCAUAAAACCAUCUGUAAUUCCAGUUCCAGGGGAUCCUCAGGCCCCAGGCAUGCACACAGUGCACAUAUGCACAUGCAGGCAAAACACUCAUAUGCACAAAAUUAUUAAAAAGCCCAAACAAAGAAAAUAAGCUUUUGAAAGGAUGCAUAUAGUAAUAAUUAUGAUGCAUUUGGUUCAUAAUUACAGUGAGACAUCUCCACAAUUACUCAUUAAUUUAAAACAAAGUUAUUUGGGGACACAGAAGAGAAUGUUAAGCACGGAAGCAGCCUAAUGUAGCAGAAUGUAUAAUGAAUGGGACUCACAGGGCUGGGAUUAGAACUUGCUCCAGCCAUUCACUCAUUGUCAGAGUUUGGGUAGGUCAAUUUAUUUAACUUUAAUUGUUACUCUUUGUAAAAGGAGACAAAAAAGAAAGAAAGAGAGGAAGAAAGGAAGAGAAAAAGUAAAAAGGAAGGAAGAAAAAGAAAAUCAAAAGAGAAAGAAUAAUGGGACAGGCACUAAGGAUAUGACUCAGUUGGCAGAGUGUUUACCCAGCCUGCAGGAAGCCUUGGAUUUGAACCCAGGUGUGGUGGUGCAUGCCUAUAAUCCCAGGACUUGGAAAGCAGAGGCUGAAGAAUCAGAUUUCAUGUCAUUCUCAGUUACCAAAGGAGUUUGAGGCCAGCCCAGACUAGACAUAAGACCUUGUCCCUAACCCCCCAAAAGUCAAGGGAUAGCAUUAGCCUAAGUGAUUGAUUUUAUUAUAUUUUUGUUAGAUUUAUUUAUUUACUUAUUUAUUUAUUUUUAUCUUAGUCCAUAGUUUAUUUCAUCUCCAGUUUAUCUGUAUAUCUGUGUCUAUAUGAGGGAAUUUCACACAUGUGCAUUCCUUGCUGAGGCCAGAAGAGGGCAUCAGAUCCCCUGGAACUAGAGUUACAGGUGGUUGUGAACUACAAGGGUGCUGGGAGCCAACUUUAGGCCCUCUGAAGAGCAGCAAGUGCUCUUAAGCACUAAGCCACCUCUUCACUCCACCCUAUGCUAUAUUGUUUUGUAAAUUAAAUGGCAACCCAAGGCAAACAAUUUGUAUAUUUUGAACAGCCUUUCAAUUGUGACUGGUGGUGUGGUGGUAAUGAGACUCAAACCUAGGACCUUGCAAAUGAUAGGCAAGUGUUUUCCUAUUGAGCUAUUCCUCUGGCUCAAAUUUUAUUAUUAUUAUUAUUACUAUUAUUAUUAUUAUUAUUAUUAUUAUUAUAUUGCUAUCAAUCUAGAAGCAAUCUAGUUAGAAAGAUAAAAUGUGAGUAUAUAAAACAAAAUGAAAACAUGCCACUUGUAGGUAAUAUAAAAAGGGCUGUGAAGUGAUAGGUUUUUUUUUGUUUUGUUUUGUUUUUUUCGAGACAGGGUUUCUCUGUAUAGCCCUGGCUGUCCUGGAACUCACUUUGUAGACCAGGAUGGCCUUGAACUCAGAAAUCCGAUUACCUCUGCCUCCCAAGUGCUGGGAUUAAAGGCGUGCGCCACCACACCUAGAGAAGUGAUAGGAAUUAAGUCACAAAUAAUAAUGAAAUAUCUAAACCAAAGCCAGGCAUGAUAGAAAAUACUUGUAAUCUCAGUACUUGGGAGAUGGAGGCACAAGAAUCAGGAGUUCAAGGUCAUCCUUAGCUAUAUAACAAGUUGUAGGCUUGCAUCAGAUAUGUGAGACUCUGACUGAAACCCCUUCACACCACCAAAAGUAAAAAUACAGAUAAGCAUAAAGAGAAGCAGUUUGGCUGUUUGUAAUAGUUCCCCAGGAGAUUAGAUUGUUUAUUUAUUCCAUUUAAUUUUAUUUUAAAGUUUAAACAUAAAGGUUAGGAGUGAAAGUCGGGGUAGGAUGCUUGUCAGACACUUGUGAGAUCCUGAGGGCAGGUCUCAACACAUAAACAAACAAACAAACAAAACUAGAGCUGGAGAGAUAGCCUAGUCAUUAAAAUACGUGUCACUGAGUUCAGUUUCUCAGAACCCCAGGUAAAAUAGAUGGGUGUGGCAGUGUGGGAAGGCAGUGAUAGAUAGGAGGAACCCUGAAGCCCAUUGGCCAAGCCCAGCUAGCUGAAUCAGCAAGCUCCAGGUUCAGUGAAAGACCCUAUCUCAACGAAUAAUGUGGAGGAGCAGAGAAAUGGCUCAGAGGUUAAGGGUGUUCCCUGGUUUUCCAGAAGAUCUAAGUUUGGCUUCUAGAGCCUGUAUCAAGUGGUCCUGGUUGCUCCACCUGUAACUCCAGCCCCUGGGAGCAUGCACACACACGUUUACGAUUGUUUAAAUCUUAAAAAUAAAGUGUUAAGUGAUUGAGGAAGACACUUGAUGUUGAACUGUGGUAUGACAUUCACACGGAUAUUAUAAAUAAAUAAAUAAAUAAAUAAAUAAAUAAAUAAAAUAAAAAAUGAAAUAAAGCAAAGCUUAGAAACAGAACCAAAGGCUUUAUGGCAAGGGCAAAGAAGACAUAGUUACUGAAAGGGACAUGGUGAUGAACAAGGUCCUGGGGAUUGUUCUGAUGCAAAUGUGUUUGUCACACUGUGCUUUUGGUGGCCAUCUCCAUAGAGGCUCCUGAACAGGUGAGUGACCUGGUAGCUACCUGCCUGAUCCUUACUGUGGCAUGGUAAGUUGGCUAGCUGGAUAGUUGACUGGUAAAAUCACUUAGCGUAUUUCUUUGGCAGGAGUGACUUAAUCACGAAGCCACUUGUGGUCAUGCUUCAGCUUCUCAAGUAUUGAUAAUAAAGAUGGGCUCAUCAGCUUGAUAACA